rnacentral:rRNA from 1 species
UUGGAGGGCAAGUCUGGUGCCACCCUCCGCGGUAAUUCCCGCUCCAAUAGCGUAUAUUAAAGUUGUUGCAGUUAAAAAGCUCGUAGUUGAAUUUUGGACCUGGCUGGGUGGUCUUGCCGAAAGGUAAGCACUGCUCUGGUCGGGUCUUUCCUUCUGGGGAACCUGCGUGCUCUUGAUUGAGUGCGCAGGGGAUCCAGGACUUUUACUUUGAAAAAAUUAGAGUGUUUAAAGCAGGCUUACGCUUGAAUACAUUAGCAUGGAAUAAUAGAAUAGGACUUUGGUUCUAUUUUGUUGGUUUCUAGGACCGAAGUAAUGAUUAAUAGGGAUAGUUGGGGGCAUUAGUAUUUAAUUGUCAGAGGUGAAAUUCUUGGAUUUAUGAAAGACUAACUUCUGCGAAAGCAUUUGCCAAGGAUGUUUUCAUUAAUCAAGAACGAAAGUUAGGGGAUCGAAGACGAUCAGAUACCGUCGUAGUCUUAACCAUAAACUAUGCCGACUAGGGAUCGGACAACGUUAACUUAUUGACUCGUUCGGCGCCUUACGGGAAAC